GCCUUCGUGGUGUAGUGGUGAGCACGCUCUACUCGUAAGUGAGAGUUCCGGGGUUCGAUUCCAGGCGAAGGGG
rnacentral:tRNA from 1 species